UUUUCACUGUGUGUGUGUGUGUGUGUGUGUGUGUGUGUGUGUGUGUGUGUAUAACAUACACACACACACACACACACACACACACACACACAUAUGUAUGGUUUCAGUUCAUAGUAUUGAAUAUUCAAAAGAGCAAACAUUCUUUUUUGCUUGUUUUACUGGCUUAAAAGACUGGAAUCUCU